rnacentral:rRNA from 1 species
ACGCUCGACACCUACGGGGGCAGCAGUCGGGAAUAUUGCGCAAUGGAGGAAACUCUGACGCAGUGACGCCGCGUAUAGGAAGAAGGUUUUCGGAUUGUAAACUAUUGUCGUUAGGGAAGAAAAAAGACAGUACCUAAGGAGGAAGCUCCGGCUAACUACGUGCCAGCAGCCGCGGUAAUCUGAGGCGGGCUGGCAAGGC